AUUAAUAUAAACUUUCAACUUUAAACUUUUAAUUAUCAAACCCAAAUUCUAAUAUAUCUAAGUUGCAAUUCUAUUGAAAUCAAAACAUACAACAAAAACAUAAAUAUAAUCCUAAACUAUGGAAUCUAAUAAUAAACUAUUAAAGAAAUAGAGUGCUGAUUUCUUAUUGGUUCAUUUUGGAAUAGUGUGGUUCACCGUUUUCUGUUCCUAACCAUUGAUAAUAUUAGAUCCAACGGAUCAGAUUGAUUUGGUUUUGUUUUAACUUUUUCUUCCCUUCUCCCCUCACAAGCUCCAUCGUCUCAUCUCCUCUUUCUUUGUUUUUGACUAAGAUUAUUCUUUCUUCUCCUCACGUACUCCAUCUUCUGCUCCUCAUCUACUCUUUUUCUCCUCUUCUUCUCAAUCUCAACUUAUAUCAUUUGCUCAAUCUCCAUUCAUCUCCAUGUCUAUCCCUACUCUACCUCCAUUCACACAUGCCGUCGUUAGCAUUAGUCGCCAUUGUCGUAGAGACAAAGCCGAUUUCAUGACUCUGUGUUUCAUCCUCUUUAUUCAUCGUUUGUGAAGAAGCAAGUUUACAGAUCUGAGAAGAAGCAGACACGUCGGAGGUGGUGGCGUGACGGAGGAAACGCGCUGGAGGUGGUAUCGUGACGGAACAGACAUGCCGGAUCUGGUGGUGUGACGAAGGAAACGCAACGGAGAUGGUGGUGAAGCACGGAAGCUACGGAGGUGGAGGUGCUGAAGCCGACGGUGACAUUCCUCUGUACCCGUAUAGAUGACGAUGUAUUUGUGUAUUUUGUGUAAUAUAUAUAAUAAUAAUAAUUUAAAAACAAAAAUUAAUUUUGUUUUUU